AGAUUGAACGCUGGCGGAAUGCCUUACACAUGCAAGUCGAAUGGCAGCACGGGAGCAAUCCUGGUGGCGAGUGGCGAACGGGUGAGUAAUACAUCGGAACGUGCCCAAUCGUGGGGGAUAACGUAGCGAAAGCUACGCUAAUACCGCAUACGAUCUACGGAUGAAAGCAGGGGAUCGCAAGACCUUGCGCGAAUGGAGCGGCCGAUGGCAGAUUAGGUAGUUGGUGAGGUAAGGCUCACCAAGCCUUCGAUCUGUAGCUGGUCUGAGAGGACGACCAGCCACACUGGGACUGAGACACGGCCCAGACUCCUACGGGAGCAGCAGGUGGGGAAUUUUGGACAAGUGGGCG
rnacentral:rRNA from 1 species